GGCGCCGUAGCUCAGACUGGUUAGAGCGCUACGCUCAUAGGUGAGCAGAGAGGCAGUGAUGCCGAUGACCGCACCUCUAACUGGGUCACGUAGAAGUCCGGGGUUCAAAUCCCCGCGGCGCCA
rnacentral:tRNA from 1 species